rnacentral:rRNA from 1 species
UACGUAGGGUGCGAGCGUUGUCCGGAAUUAUUGGGCGUAAAGAGCUCGUAGGCGGUUUGUUGCGUCUAUCGUGAAAACCUGCGGCUUAACUGUGGGCUUGCGGUGGAUACGGGCAGACUUGAGUUCGGUAGGGGAGACUGGAAUUCCUGGUGUAGCGGUGAAAUGCGUAGAUAUCGGGAGGAACAUCAGUGGCGAAGGCGGCUGCCUGGCCCAAUACUGACACUCAGGUGCGGACAGCGUGGGGAGCAAACAGG